rnacentral:rRNA from 1 species
CUACGGGGUGCUGCAGUGGGGAAUAUUGCACAAUGGACGAAAGUCUGAUGCAGCAACGCCGCGUGGAGGAUGACACUUUUCGGAGCGUAAACUCCUUUUAUAUCCCAAGAUAAUGACGGUAGGAUAUGAAUAAGCACCGGCUAACUCCGUGCCAGCAGCCGCGGUAAUACGGGGGGUGCAAGCGUUACUCGGAAUCACUGGGCGUAAAGAGCGUGUAGGCGGGUUUGUAAGUUGGAAGUGAAAUCCUGUGGCUCAACCAUAGAACUGCUUCCAAAACUGCUUACCUAGAAUAUGGGAGAGGUAGAUGGAAUUUCUGGUGUAGGGGUAAAAUCCGUAGAGAUCAGAAGGAAUACCGAUUGCGAAGGCGAUCUACUGGAACAUUAUUGACGCUGAGACGCGAAAGCGUGGGGAGCAAACAGGAUUAGAUACCCUCGUAGUC